rnacentral:rRNA from 1 species
CGCGUGGGUAACCUGCCUCAUACAGGGGGAUAACAGUUGGAAACGACUGCUAAUACCGCAUAAGCGCACAGGAUCGCAUGAUCCGGUGUGAAAAACUCCGGUGGUAUGAGAUGGACCCGCGUCUGAUUAGCCAGUUGGCAGGGUAACGGCCUACCAAAGCGACGAUCAGUAGCCGACCUGAGAGGGUGACCGGCCACAUUGGGACUGAGACACGGCCCAA